rnacentral:rRNA from 1 species
ACACGCAUGACACACUGCAUAUCAAUAAGCGGAGGAAAAGAAACUAACAAGGAUUCCCCUAGUAACGGCGAGGUGAAGCGGGAAGAGCUCAAAUUUGAAAUCUUAAAGGGUUUCCCUUUACGAAUUGUAGUUUAAAGAAGUGUUUUCUGUUGGAGUUUCGGUAAAAGUUCUUUGGAAUAGGACAUCAUAGAGGGUGAGAAUCCCGUAUUUGACCAUUAUUUUCAGCUGUGUGAUACACUUUCAAAGAGUCGGAUUGUUUGGGAAUGCAGUCCAAAAUGGGUGGUAAAUUUCAUCUAAAGCUAAAUAUUGGCGAGAGACCGAUAGCGAACAAGUACCGUGAGGGAAAGAUGAAAAGAACUUUGAAAAGAGAGUUAAACAGUACGUGAAAUUGUCAAAAGGGAAGCGUUUGACACCAGUGUUGUUUAGUUGAAAAUCAAUUCAAUAAUUUUUGAUUUUAAGUAGUAUUGACUUCAUCAGCUUGCUGCUUUCUUUUCAGGAAUUAUUGAAUGCACUUUUCAGUUAACAAGUCAACAUCAAUUUCUUUUGUUGUAAAAGGGUAAGAGGAAGGUGGCUUACGCUUCGGCGUAAGUGUUUAUAGCCUUUUACCUCUGCAAUCGGAGAGAUUGAGGACAGCAGCGUAGACUCUUCGGGGUUAGAUACACUUGUGCUAAGCUAUAGCCUUGUAUAGACAACUUGUUGACUAUGCUCAGUCAUGUAGCUUACUCGCUUGUGCUAUUUUACCUACGCUUAGGAUGUUGAGCGCAUGUCUCUCUCU